rnacentral:rRNA from 1 species
UUUCUAAGGCGCUUGAGAGAACUCAGGAGAAGGAACUCGGCAAAAUAGCACCGUAACUUCGGGAAAAGGUGUGCCCUUUGUAUGUGUAGCGCCUCGCGCGUGAAGCAGAAUAGGGUUGCAAUGAAAUGGUGGCUGCGACUGUUUAAUAAAAACAUAGCACUCUGCAAACACGAAAGUGGACGUAUAGAGUGUGACGCCUGCCCGGUGCCGGAAGGUUAAAUGAUGGGGUGCAAGCUCUUGAUUGAAGCCCCGGUAAACGGCGGCCGUAACGAUAACGGUCCUAAGGUAGCGAAAUUCCUUGUCGGGUAAGUUCCGACCUGCACGAAUGGCGUAACGAUGGCCACACUGUCUCCUCCUGGGACUCAGCGAAGUUGAAAUGUUUGUGAAGAUGCAAUCUCCCCGCGGCUAGACGGAAAGACCCCGUGCACCUUUACUGUAGCUUUACAUUGGACUUUGAUAACAUUUGUGUAGGAUAGGUGGGAGGCUUUGAAGUGGGUUCGCCAGAAUUCAUGGAGCCAACGUUGAAAUACCACCCUGAUGUUGUUGAGGUUCUAACCUAGAUCCAUUAUCUGGGGACCGUGUAUGGUAGGCAGUUUGACUGGGGCGGUCUCCUCCCAAAUUGUGACGGAGGAGUACGAAGGUACGCUAGGUACGGUCGGAAAUCGUGCUGAUAGUGCAAUGGCAAAAGCGUGCUUAACUGCGAGACUGACAAGUCGAGCAGAUGCGAAAGCAGGUCAUAGUGAUCCGGUGGUUCUGUAUGGAAGGGCCAUCGCUCAACGGAUAAAAGGUACGCCGGGGAUAACAGGCUGAUUCCUCCCAAGAGUUCAUAUCGACGGGGGAGUUUGGCACCUCGAUGUCGGCUCAUCACAUCCUGGGGCUGUAGCCGGUCCCAAGGGUAUGGCUGUUCGCCAUUUAAAGUGGUACGUGAGCUGGGUUUAAAACGUCGUGAGACAGUUUGGUCCCUAUCUGCCGUGGGCGUUGGAAGUUUGAGUGGACCUGCUCCUAGUACGAGAGGACCGGAGUGGACGCACCUCUGGUGUACCGGUUAUGACGCCAGUCGUAUCGCCGGGUAGCUAUGUGCGGAAGAGAUAACCGCUGAAAGCAUCUAAGCGGGAAACUCUCCUCAAGAUGAGACUUCCCGAGGGUUUAACCCUCCUAAAGGUUCGUCGAAGACUACGACGUUGAUAGGUCGGGUGUGGAAGCAUAGUGAUAUGUUAAGCUAACCGAUACUAAUUGACCGUGAGGCUUGAUCCU